AUGACUCCAGCCUUCAGGGCUACCACUGUGAUCCUUCACUAGCAUCAGGAAACGUGUUGGGAGGAAGAACAGAAAAAAAAAGCCGGCACUGCCUCAGCUUUGCUGUCUGACCAACGCCCCGAGGAGACAACUGUCAUGUGAAACUCCUGCAAGGAUGGCGCAACCGGUUGCAUGUCAGGGGGCUUGGGAAGGGGUGGUGGGAGCUGGCAGGGUGGGCAGCUGCUCAAAGGAAACCACAAAGGACUGACCAAGCACUUGAAGGAUUCCACGCAUACCUCCCAGAUACGCCUGCCGGUGCGGUUACAAAAUCCCUGCCCGACACUUGGGGUGGCGGCAUGCUGUUGAAAAAAAUAGGGGGAGGAAAGGAAGAAAAAAGGGAAAAACAAAACCCCAAACAACGGUUCAUGGGACACACAGAGGGCUGCAAGUCCUACGCUUUAACGAGACGCCACAGGCAGCGCUGCCUUGGAAUUUGGGCUAUGCUUGCGGUCCGUGGGGCGACUUGCUGAAGCCUUUGGUCACAUUAAGCAACAUUACAUGAUAAUGCUGCAGCACUUUCAGGCUGAGGGAGAAGGAAAACAAAACAGAUGACUCUGGAUGGAAAGGCAUUGCUGUAAACCUGGGAGGGAGAAGAACAUUCCUUUGGAUACUUUUUUUGGCUGGUUGUGUCCUCCCCUCCCCGCCUCCCACCUCUCUCCUCCUCCCCCUCCCCUUGGAGAAUUUGUGACAGCAAGGGUUUUGUUGUUGUUCUAUUAUUAUUUUUUUUACUAACAUUUCCAUAUUAAAUAGAAAGGAAGAGUGUGAAAGGCCAUGCAGAGUGGUGGCAGCUAGACAGUGGAAUCUGUAACUGAAGGGUGGAGCGCGAGCACUGGAGAGGUGCCGGUUAUUUAUAGGGUAUGAGUGAACACAAAAAAUGUCUGGCCCCUUUAAGGCCCCUUAAUCCAAACAACCAAUGGAAAGAAAAAAAUGGGAAAAAAAGAGCGGAAAGAAAGAAAAUAAAACAAAACAAGGAGAAAAGGCAUCUCUGCACCAGACUGCGAAGCAUGAAGGAGGAUGGGGCGAUGGCGUGGCACAACACCACCCCUGGCCAGACCUGAGCUCGGUGUCCUCCGGGAGCCACAGCCUCAGCGAGGAGACCACGGGCAGCCCCAGGCACAGCUGCCUCUCGGGUGGGACAAGGAGGCUGUUUUGAGCACGAGAAGAGAAGUUCAAGGAAAUUAAGAAGGAGAAGCUGAGCACGUCUGGAGCAUGGGCCAGAAAUUCACUCUCUUUGGUCUCCAUUAGAGCAACCGGGGAUCUUUGCAUGCCAAGCCGAGGAGAAGAGCCUGGGAGAUGCGGCUGUUUACUGCCUUCACUCUUGCCUUGGGAUGCAUAAGCUGGAAGAUCAUUGCUGAGGCACAAAUCCUCCUUCCCCUUUGCUUAAGGCUGCUGAAGUCUUGGCAAGAGCCCCAUGCCUGGUUGCAGGCAUCGCACUGCGAGAAAAAUGGGGCUGCAAGGAAAGCACGGUCUGACCAGAGCAGGACAAAUGGCCAUGGUCCAGUGCAACCUGCAAAGAGAUACUGAAAGGACGGUGGUUGUUUAGGCUAGAGAGGAGAAGAGCAAAGAUAUUAAAAUAGUCUUCAAAUAUUUAAUAUGUUGUACCAAAGAAGAAAAGGAUGAACUGUUCUCCAAGUCUGCUGGACAAGAAGAAGGAGGAUUACUCUGCAGCAAAAGGAAGGACAAAGCUUUUGUGGCCCGGUAUUUCAGCGCAGGUGUGGAUGCUCUGGGAAGGCCCUUGUCAGGGCUGGUGUAAGCAGGGUUACUCUGCUCUGUCCCUGGAAGAUCAUCCCUUCCAGCCCUUUCUAGGACUUUCCUAGGAGUCCUGAUUGAUUUUAGCCCAGCUGAGCAGUGUUUUCCCUCUACAAGAUCUCCUUCCUGAAGAGGAAAGAGAGGAACCUCAGUCCAAAGAGGUGCCACACAAAGUCACAGCAGUUCUGUGCUCUAAGCAAAGCUCCUUUUUGCUUUCUUUCCAGAAGAAACGCAUGCAGUUAUGCCUAUCUCUUCUAAGCAGACAUAAGGGGAUUGUGAAGAGGUCCUGGAAGACACUCAGCACUUAGGUGAUUUAGUGCACAACAAAGUGGAUAAGUCAUCAACUUCAAUGAAUACACACCUGGAACCAGAGAAACCGAAGACAGACAAUUCUUUGGACAGAGAGGGGUCGGUAAAGAGAUUCAAGAACUCGAGUGGAUGACAGUGACACUAAAUCCUCAGGUCUUUUCACAACCCCUGCUCUUAUUCCCUAGGAUCCUGUUGAACCCAUGAGCCUUCACUAAUAGGUUUCAUUCUUCUCUGCCAGUAUCAAAUAACAAAUGUCAGAUCUCAUAUGGGAACCACUAACAACAUCAAAAUAAGAUUUAUAUGGAAAGACGAAGUUCAAAAGAACGGUUACAAAAUGCAGAAAGGUUUUGUUUGUACCCAGUCACACACAAAUAAAAUCAAAAUCAAAACACCGCUAUUCAGGACUGGGCUCACUGUCACCCAUGACCUUCUCCCACCAUCAUUGCAAUUUUGAAUGCUGGACGCUGGCUACAAAUUAAUUUGCUGAAACUGAGGAAAAUGCUUCCCUGAUGUGUAAACAAGAAAAGGCUAAACAUGCAUUAGCUAAUCCCAGACUUCAGCUGAUCGCUUUUGGUUCAAACUCUAUGCUAAUACUCCCUCUAGCUUUCCUUUCUCCAAAGAGAAGGGCUCCAAAGCUCUAGAUCUGCUCCUCACCUUCCAACCCUGUGAGAAGGACAACAGCGUAAUAAUGGCAAAAUCCUCGAGCGCCAGCUGGUGGUGCUGGCUUAGUUGAGUGCCAGCUGGUGAUGCUGGUUUAGUUUUUCCGGUGACCACAGAGAAGCCGAAGGCAUCUCAGAUGUGGAAAAACGGAUGCAUGGAGAGGUAACAAGACUUGGCCGCAGAAGGGAGAGGCAGAUCCUCAAGAGGCAUAAAUCAUUCCAGCUCUUCUGAUGUCAGCACCCCAGGGAGGUCGGGCCAGCGUCGAGCGGAGCAGCAAGGAAGAGGAGGGCUGAGCCUCUUCCUGCUUGUCACAAUGCGAGUCCAGGAAAGUCGGACCCCGGCUCUCCUCCUGCUCUGGACUUCUGCCACCAUCUCAUCCUGCUCGGAGAAUCUGUCAGCACACCUCAACCCUCGAAAACUGGGGCUCGAGCCAAGGCCCUCAAAAGGGAGCAAAGGAAGGAUGGGAGACGGAGUCCAAAAGUGUCUUUCCGCUCUAAAGCUGAGCAACAAGGCUGGAGCGUGUGUCUGCAGAGGGAAUGGCGAAUGCUCAGGACAAAAACAGACCGCGGCGAAAGAGCGAGGGGAAGCGUGCGAGGCGAGCGUGCAAACGUGCAUGCAUGCGUGACCACAGCGGGGUGUGGGAGCCACCACAAGCACCUCGUGACAGCAGUGUGGGAGCGAACAAACGGCACGAGCAGGGAGGGAAGGGACACGGGGGGCUCUGCAGCACGCGACGGGCAAACCGUUUUUGGGGCGAGGGCAGGCACGUCCUGCAGGAGGGGACCAUGUCAAGGCAGGAACGUGCAAACGCGUGCAGGAAGAAGGUCCGAGCGUGAGAGCGAGCCUGCAACUAUCUGCAAAGAGAGGAGCUAUCCCGAUGGCGGGGGAAGGAAUGGGAAAAGGCAAGGUCUCGUCUCUCCCAGGCGGGAGCGGACGUGCCGGGGAGGAAUGCUGCGUCCCCGUUCCAGUGCUCGCUCUUGGCUGCGAGGAAGGUGCAGCCUCUCCUCCUCCAGCAGGAGCCACCGGGCCUGGUCCGCGGGGGGAGCAGAGGCUCCCGCUGUCCGGGUUUUCCAUUCGGAGCUCCACGUGGCACAAAAUCCCAUCGGUUUCCCUGCCAGAGGGAGCCAGGUGGAGAGAACAAUAAAAAGCAGAAGGCGCGGGGUGGGGCGGGAUGGUCCAGAGCGGAUGCAGAGGAUGGAAUUAAUCAGCUGUCCGGGAGGAAUAUUAGAGCUCUUCGGCUUGUCGUCAACGCCUUCUCCUCCUUCCCAAAGACAGACACAAUGAGAGACCAAGGAACAUUUCCUAUUGUUACAGGGGAUUUGUCCACAAGGUCCAGCCCCAUGUGGAAGUCAUUACCGGCUGGGAGUGGCAUCUCGAGGGAGACUGUCACCAUAGCAGCCCAGCUCCCAGUCCAGGGAUCGCUGUGGGCUGAGGUACGAAGUGUUUUGCUUAAUAGCACCCCUUUGACUGAGCCAAAGUCCUGAGCACUCCUACGAGAAGCCAUCAAGGGUAGCUCCGCGCCAACAGGAACGGAUCAUGAAUUUCACUGCUGCUACCGAACGGGGAAGGGAGGGACAGUUACGUCAAGGUUUUCUUUUCCCUGCCUCCAACCCUCCCUAGAUAGAAAACCGAAGAGUGGCUGCAGCAACAGCUGUACGAAGCACGAGGUGAAGAGCUGACCACUGCCCACCUGCACGUCCUCCCGCUCCAGCAGAACUUGGCCUUCAGGAUCAUCCGUGGAAGAACGUAAUUAUCCGUGGGUGAGAGCCCAGGACUGAGUGAUCAGAGAGAAUCAACACCUCCGAGCUCCCACGGGGAAGCAGAUCCUUUUAGACACAUGUUACAUCUAAGCCCGGUCGUUUCACGCUAAAUCAUCCUGAAGUCAGCAGCAUCUCCAGCAGUGGUGAUGUCAGCGCCCUCAGGACAGCCGGCCUCGUGCACGGAGGAAAGGGGCACCUCGGAAAUCAGUGGGAAAUCAACAUCUAGGUAAAACGCAGCUCUCCCUAGGCCUCCCAAAUCCACUCCCGACUUCCCCAGCCGUGAAGGAGCAGAUAGAAGCAAAGUCAGCUGUGGGAACUGGGGGUUAAAGUAAUCAGAUUAAGCCUGGCUUGGCCAUUUGGUCCGACAGGAACCGCACAAUGCAUCCAAGGAGAACUGAGGGGCCAGGGGAGCAAGUGAUGGGCAACAGGCAGCUGGCCUGCCUGCUAAAUGCCACCCACUGAUCUGGCAUCUUUAGCACAGAAAUAUUUCUCCCAGAAAUCUCCAAGCACAUCAAAUGAGCAACUUUUAGGCUCCCAGGAAGCGGAGGUGCCACUUUUACCCAGAUGACAUUUGGAGCAUGCGUACAACUCUUUUAACUGCUUGCCGCUCUUGAACCAGCCUCUCCAAAACCACUCAACAUAGAAAUACACAAACGAGAAGCAAUAUCAACACUGAAAGGUGCCUUAUCGCUACCCUAACCAGUUGACUUCCACCUGGCGAGUUUGCUCUUUCACACAGCAGGCUUUUGUUAGGUUUCCACAAGGGUAGUGACAGAGGUGACCUGUGGGCUGUGCCAGGGGGUCCACCUCCAGGAGAUGCCAUACCCCAAACCCAGCUUCACACAACUGCCGUCAGAAAACUGCAAUAUCUAAAGGGCAAGGCUUUGGGAGGGAAAGGAGGGCAGGCACAUAGCCAAGGGGAUUCUGGCAACAUGGUGGGACAGGCAGCAUCUUCUGGGUUUUUCAGAAGUUCCACAAGCAUCAAGCACAACUACCACGCUUGCAGAAGGGCACUCAUAGCUGUCUCAGACCACACGUCCCCAAACAGUGCUGGGAGAGCAGAAAACCAUCACCGUAUGGGAUGACCACGAGAAACAAGGACUCUCUGCCACCCCAAUAAAGUGUAGGACAGCAGCCUCCCAAAAGCCUUUUUUUUGCACCAGUGAUUAAGCAGAUUUCUCCAGCCUCCUGCCCUUGCUGCAGGGCCCAACCCACACCACACCAUUUCUUGCCUGCCUUGAGUUCAGUGCACAAAGAAGCCCUUACAAAAAUCAAGCCCAAGCACAGUGGUAUGAUGCUGUGCUCUGUUUUCUUAAAAAUAAAUAAAAAUACUUGUUAUUCUUCCAUGGAAAAUGAACGCGGGGAAGAUCAGCAUGGUCAGCUCAUUUAUCUCCAAGAAAUUUCUUCUUAAUUGAGCAGGGUGUCCCUCCCCACAGGACAGCUCUCAGCUGGGUAUUUUUACAAGUAUGAACAUUGCAGCUUUUUCUUGUAAAUGGUGUGAAUGUUCUCCUCUAUUUAUGUCCUACAAAACCUCAUUUUUACCAACAUUUAUGCAUCAUAACACAUAACCCUGAUCCUGCAAAAUCUCUACACGGGCACAGAUUUGUGUAUGCCUGAGAUCUCCCUGGCUUCAAUGAGCUAUUCAUCUGCAGCUUGCUGAAGAGGCUGAAACUGUACUUAUGUUUUAUGUAUGUGGAAAAAUUAUUACAUAGCAAUAGGGUUCAAACAGGAGCCCCCAGAUUCAUCAGAUGUCUGACUCGCUUGGUACACACAGUAUAAAAUGGAAAGAGGGGAUGGGAAACAUAAUAAGAUGCAAUAAAAAUGUCCUUAAAUGUUUCAGGUUAUUGAAAAAAUCUCUCUUUGUGAGCUCUCUAACUUUUGAAAUCAUGAACAUGCAUUCUUACAAAGUUAGACUUAAAAGUAGCUUAUAUUUAAUUUAAAAUUGCAUUGUUCCAAUUAUACCUACAAAAUGCACACAACACAUAUAUGUAUAAAAUGUAUUAUUACACUGUAAAAUGUAUAUUUACAUUAUUUAAAUUAAAUUUAAAAUUAAAGUCAUACUGAAACUAAAUGUACUUGUUUGCCAUAUGUCUUGGUAGGACACGCUCUGCUCAUUCCGUAAGACCAAAGAAUAGAAAAAUAAA